rnacentral:lncRNA from 1 species
UAGCAACACACGAUACAAUCGACCCACAAUCCAUUACAAAAUUUACAGGAUAGAGAUGGUGCCAACAAUUAUCCCUUGGGAAUAUAAUGACAUUGUUGCCAAAAGUGGGCUCCUUUGCAAUAAGAACAAGGUCUUACCACAUGAAUAAUCCUCAUUCAUCCCAAGAGAGCAUUAAUUAGGAGAAAAAAAUAUGUAUCAAAAUAAAUAAACAAAUAAAUAAAUAAAUAAAAAGAAAAAGUAUAACCUAGAAGAAUA